rnacentral:rRNA from 1 species
UACAGAGGGGGCAAGCGUUGUUCGGAAUUACUGGGCGUAAAGGGCGCGUAGGCGGCCUUCUAAGUCGAACGUGAAAUCCCCGGGCUCAACCCGGGAACUGCGUCCGAGACUGAAAGGCUCGAAUCCGGGAGAGGGAUGUGGAAUUCCAGGUGUAGCGGUGAAAUGCGUAGAUAUCUGGAGGAACAUCGGGUGGCGAAGGCGGCAUCCUGGACCGGUAUUGGACGCUGAGGCGCGAAAGCCAGGGGAGCAAACGAGAAUUGAGAU